rnacentral:rRNA from 1 species
UACGUAGGGGGCAAGCGUUGUCCGGAUUUAUUGGGCGUAAAGAGCGUGUAGGCGGCUAGGUAGGUCCGUUGUGAAAACUCGAGGCUCAACCUCGAGACGCCGGUGGAAACCAUCUAGCUAGAGUCCGGAAGAGGAGAGUGGAAUUCCUGGUGUAGCGGUGAAAUGCGCAGAUAUCAGGAAGAACACCCGUGGCGGAAGGCGGCUCUCUGGGACGUGACUGACGGCUGAGAC